CUGCUGACCUUCUGUGAGUUUGAGAAAAGCUAUUAUUCAAAACAUCAAGUACUGAAAUGUUUGAUAGGAUAAGAGUCUCUAUGUGACAGUGUGACACGCUUAAGUAUUUUGGUCUUUGUGUUUUUAGAGAGAAUAUGCGUGCUGUUGUAGAGCAUUGCUUGUAGACCUGAUAAUACCUACAGUACAUCUGUUACUGAUCUGGUGUGGAUAGGAUGUCACAUUAGUUCAAGUGGAAGCGGCGGACUUGAGAGAGGUGUUUGUGUGGUGCAGCUUGAGAGAGGUGUUUGUGUGGUGCAGUUUGAGAGAGGUGUUUGCGCUGGUGCAGUUUGAGAGAGGUGUUUGUGCAGCUUGAGAGAGGUGUUUGUGCAGCUUGAGAGAGGUGUUUGUGCAGCUUGAGAGAGGUGUUUGUGCAGCUUGAGAGAGGUGUGUGUGCAGCUUGAGAGAGGUGUUUGUGCAGCUUGAGAGAGGUGUUUGUGUGGUGCAGCUUGAGAGAGGUGUUUGUGCAGCUUGAGAGAGGUGUGUGUGCAGCUUGAGAGAGGUGUUUGUGUGGUGCAGCUUGAGAGAGGUGUUUGUGCUGGUGAAGUGUACCGUAACA
ensembl:lncRNA